GUGCUUGCUUCGGCAGCCCAUAUAUUAAAAUUGGAACGAUACAGAGAAGAUUAGCAUGGCCCCUGCGUAAGGAUGACAUGCGAAUUCGUGAAGCGUUCCAUUUUUUG
rnacentral:snRNA from 1 species